rnacentral:misc_RNA from 1 species
CAGAGUUCUUUGCAACUCCCAACCCUGUGAACCAUACCCAUUUUUGUUGUUGCUUCUGGCAGGCGGGCCUCCGGGCCCCCUGCCAGCGGCAGCCUGCUCCAACCUUCUUUUUUUAGCAGUCGUCUGAGUCUUACAAAAAAUAAAUCA